GAAUUCAACUCCUACGGGAGGCAGCAGUGGGGAAUCUUGCGCAAUGGGCGGAAGCCUGACGCAGCAACGCCGCGUGUGGGAAGACGGCUUUCGGGUUGUAAACCACUUUCAGGGGGGACGAAGCUUCCGAGGUUAAUAGCCUACGGGGUGACGGUACCCCCAGAAGAAGCCCCGGCUAACUACGUGCCAGCAGCCGUGGUAAUACGUAGGGGGCGAGCGUUGUCCGGAAUCAUUGGGCGUAAAGCGCGUGUAGGCGGCUUGGUCAGUCUGGUGUGAAACCUUGAGGCUUAACCCCAAGCCUGCACUGGAUACUGCCAAGCUUGAGUCCGGGAGGGGAGAGCGGAAUUCCUAGUGUAGCGGUGAAAUGCGCAGAUAUUAGGAAGAACACCGGUGGCGAAGGCGGCUCUCUGGAACGGUACUGACGCUGAGACGCGAAAGCGUGGGGAGCGAACAGGAUUAGAUACCCUAGUAGUCCAGGCGUU
rnacentral:rRNA from 1 species